CGUGAGCCGGGGUCAGGCUCCCGAGCAGUUCCUGAAGACCCUCCCCACGGAUCCCUCAGCCUCACCUGGCCUGGUCUCGAAGGCAGACACUGCCUCCUGCACAGGGCCUGGCAGGCUGUGGGGCUCCGUGAACAUCAGCUGAAUGGGCGAGGCGGUCAGGGGACUCCAGGCGUCCUCGCACGCUGGCCCUCCCGCCACACACGCGGCCGCUGUCUCUUGGUCAGCCCUGAGCGGGCACCGGGGUGAGCACAACUCCAACAGCGUCAGCUGGGGAGCAGCGCGGGAUUCUGGAACGCGCUGGGAGAACGCUGGGUGCCGUCCAGGCACUGUG
rnacentral:lncRNA from 1 species